AUUGAACGCUGGCGGCAGGCUUAACACAUGCAAGUCGAGCGGGGGAGGUUACUUCGGUAACUGACCUAGCGGCGGACGGGUGAGUAAUGCUUAGGAAUCUGCCUAUUAGUGGGGGACAACAUUCCGAAAGGAAUGCUAAUACCGCAUACGUCCUACGGGGGAAAGCAGGGGAUCUUCGGACCUUGCGCGAAUAGAUGAGCCUAAGUCGGAUUAGCCAGUUGGUGGGGUAAAGGCCUACCAAGGCGACGAUCUGUAGCGGGUCAGAGAGGAUGAUCCGCCACACUGGGACGGAGACACGGCCCAGACUCCUACGGGAGGCAGCAGUGGGGAAUAUUGGACAAUGGGCGGAAGCCUGAUCCAGCCAUGCCGCGUGUGUGAAGAAGGCCUUUUGGUUGUAAAGCACUUUAAGCGAGGAGGAGGCUCCUUUAGUUAAUACCUAAAGUGAGUGGACGUUACUCGCAGAAUAAGCACCGGCUAACUCUGUGCCAGCCGCCGCCGUAA
rnacentral:rRNA from 1 species